UGCUCCAAGAGUUUAUAUAUGUGUUGCUGCAGUUGAAAAGCUCGUAGUUGGGGUUUGGAGAGAUGGGUGGGUGGUUCUGGAGUUUGGGAUUCUGUCUCAGCGCCGGUUAAAUUCACUCUGUGUUGCCCCCACCACUUCUACUUUUUUUGUUCAUGUAAGGGUGAGUUUUCUCACCUCUACAUUUGAACGUGUUACUUUGAGUAAAUCUGAGUGUUCAAAGCAGACGGAAAUCAUCCGUCUUGAAAGUUGUAGCAUGGAAUAACGUGAUAGGACUCCGGUGGCCCUUUUCAGUUGGUCUAAGCCGUUCCGGAGUAAUGACUAAGAGGGACAGUCGGGGGCACUCGUACUUCCUUGUCAGAGGUGAAAUUCUUGGAUUUAGGAAAGACGAACCACUGCGAAAGCAUUUGCCAAGGAUGUUUUCA
rnacentral:rRNA from 1 species